rnacentral:pre_miRNA from 1 species
AUACUACUCCCUCCGUUCGGAAUUACUUGUCACAAAAAUGGAUGUAUCUACAACUAAAAUACAUCUAGAUACAUUAAUUUCUUGGACGAGUAAUUCCGAACGGAGGGAGUACUUG